GAAGGAUCAUUACCUUUAGUAGCUGGCCAGGCCGCAGCAGCGCAGUCGCCUCGAAAUUUGCCGUGCCGGGCCUGGACUCGCCUGCCCCAACGUUCCGCCUGCGCCCGAGACGGCGAGGAUGGGAUGAGGGGUGUCCGCAAACCCAGGACGACAUGUGGGCACCCUGCCCGGGGAAGAAGCCGUUGAUUCAGUGAUAUCAACGCAUCCGCCAUGGCCCCGCACCGAAUGCCACGAUUCCCCUGGGUCCGCCAAUGCUGAGUCUAGGCUUUCGCACGUCUCACUAGGGCCAUACUGCGCUGAGGCGGCUUGAGCCGCCAUCUAAACCCACACUGCGUACUCUACCUGUUGCCUCCGCGGGGAGCUGACUCCAAUCAGGCUCCGCGGUUGGGAACCACAACGAAUCCUUGAAUAAUCAAUGUUACCGGUCUGAGUGUUGUGUUUGUAACAAAAUUUAAAACUUUCAGCAACGGAUCUCUUGGUUCUCGCAUCGAUGAAGAACGCAGCGAAAUGCGAUAAGUAGUGUGAAUUGCAGAAACAGUGAAUCAUCGAAUCUUUGAACGCACAUUGCGCCUCCUGGCAUUCCGGGAGGCAUGCCUGUUCGAGCGUCAUCAAAACCGUUUCAAGCGACAUUGCUUGGUUGUGGUGGACGAGGUUGUGAAGAACGAACUCGCCUCCGAAAUUCAAUGGCGGGGCACUUCCCAUGGCGAGACGUAGUAGGGUUUACCAAUCGCCUCCGUCUGUGCAGUGCCUUGGCCCAAUCCAACUCCCCCAUCAAUCUCAUGUUGACCUCGGAUCAGGUAGGGAUACCCGCUGAACUUAA
rnacentral:rRNA from 1 species